rnacentral:rRNA from 1 species
AGUGAACGCUGGCGGUAGGCCUAACACAUGCAAGUCGAACGGCAGCACAGUAAGAGCUUGCUCUUACGGGUGGCGAGUGGCGGACGGGUGAGGAAUACAUCGGAAUCUACUUUUUCGUGGGGGAUAACGUAGGGAAACUUACGCUAAUACCGCAUACGACCUACGGGUGAAAGCAGGGGAUCUUCGGACCUUGCGCGAUUGAAUGAGCCGAUGUCGGAUUAGCUAGUUGGCGGGGUAAAGGCCCACCAAGGCGACGAUCCGUGGCUGGUCUGAGAGGAUGAUCAGCCACACUGGAACUGAGACACGGUCCAGACUCCUACGGGAGGCAGCAGUGGGGAAUAUUGGGCAAUGGGCGCAAGCCUGAUCCAGCCAGACCGCGUGGGUGAAGAAGGCCUUCGGGUUGUAAAGCCCUUUUGUUGGGAAAGAAAAGCAGCAGGUUAAUACCCCGCUGUUCUGACGGUACCCAAAGAAUAAGCACCGGCUAACUUCGUG